rnacentral:misc_RNA from 1 species
GUAAAGUUUGCUAUGAAUAUGUACGGUGAAUCUAAAUAUUAGUGAAAUUUAGUAAAACAACAAAGAAAAAACAACAAGAAACAAAAAACAAAAAGUUAGGAUUACCCAACAAUAGAAUUACCAAAGGUUGUAUGAGUAAUAAUGAACUGAGUGAAUAAUGCUUAAACAAGCUUUCCAAGCCUUAGAACGAAGCUGCACGUCAGCAAAACGCACAAGUAUGGGUCAAGCAGUGUCUUUUUUAGUACCAAGUCUGUGGCAAGAACUAAGAUGUUCUUCCUUUAUGUCAGAUAUCCUCAUUUCAUUGGAUAGCACUGCAAGGAUACUUUUUUGCACAUCCUCAUCCUUGUCUUCCCGUAUGCCAUGGAAAAGAAGAAGUUUCCUGCGGGAUGGUGUCUCUAUUCGAUCCAUGCCUUGAGCCAACAAUUCGAUUUGGGACUUGAGCAAGCCAAGAGUUCUCCAUACCAAGGUUUUAAAGGCAUAGAAGUCUGCUGCCAAGGACUUAACAGUAGGAGUUGCUGUACUGGAUGUUGAAAGAUUCUUUUCAAAAUCACCCAUCCUGCAGGCAACCAUUGAAUACAGUUCCUCCAUAUUUUUCUGAAGAUGCUCGAUUGAGGUGUUCAUCUUGGCACUUUGUUGUUUCAAAUUAGUGUGAAAGGUGUGGAGAGAGUCAACUUACACUGUGGUAACUUAACUUUUGCACAUAUAUGUAUAUAACAAAUUAUAACUAAAAAUAAGCGAGAGCACUAAAAAAAUACGUCUUUACACUUU